CGGACUGAAGCCAAUUGAUUAGGGUGUUUAGCUGUUAACUAAAUGUUUGUGGGUUUAAGUCCCAUCGGUCUAG
rnacentral:tRNA from 1 species